rnacentral:rRNA from 1 species
AACGAACGCUGGCGGCAGGCCUAACACAUGCCAGUCGAGCGAGCACUUCGGUCCUAGCGGCGGACGGGAGAGUAACGCGUGGGAACGUGCCCUUUGCUUCGGAAUAGCCCUGGGACACUUGGAGUAAUACCGGAUGAGCCCUUUGGGGGCAAGAUUUAUCGGCGCAGGAUCGUCCCGCGUUGGUUUAGGUAGUUGGUUGGGUAAUGGCCUACCAAGCAGUCGAUCCAUAGCUGGGUUGAGAGGAUGCUCAACCACCCUGGGACUGAGACACGACCCAGACACCUACGCGAGGGAGCAGGGGGGAAUAGUAGACAACGGGGGAAACCCUAAUCAAGCCAUGCGGGGAGAACGAUGAGGGGCUUAGGGUUGUAAAGCUCUUUUAGCUGGGAAGAUAAUGACGGUACCAGCAGAAGAAGCCCCGGCUAACUCCGUG